rnacentral:lncRNA from 1 species
UCUGAAGAGUGUAUGUGAAAGACAAACAUGUGAGCAAAAUUUGUGUAUGUCUGCCAAUCGUACAAGAACGCAAAAGUGCAGUGAAAGAGGUGGGGUAAAACCUAGUCAUGUAUAGCGUAUGCCCAGGCCAGCUGUAUCCGUGACAGAAGGCAUGUUAGUGCUUCUCAGGUGACAUGGCGUUUUUGAGGUGACAUGCGUCCUUUUGUUUUUACCAUUUGUCUGAACAUAUUUGUAACUGGGGCCGGUUGGUACAUGUUGAAACUAGAGUAACUGCACAUGGGACAGGACGGCGAUCUGUAACUUGUCUAUUAUUUUUUCUUUAGCUGUCUCGUUUCAUCUCAUGGCAACACUACUAAGCAUGGGCAUUAUUCUUCACUUUAGAUGUUCAUGUCUGCCAUUUGUUAAGCUGUGCUAUAAUGCUAAAGUGAGAUGCAUACACCAAAAUAAUUAACUAGAAAGCGCAUUUGCUUAUCAGUAUUCAACAGUUUGUGCGAUACUGCUGUCAUUCAUACACAGAUGCUUAGUUUUGGUGCUAGGGUGCAUUUGGCACCCAAUCACACUGCAGGUAUACAUUGCAAUGUGUAAUGAAUCGCAAGAAGUGUUCUGUAUUGUUUUGACGUGGUAGUACUCUCUCGAGUGAUGCGACAAAGAUCAUCUAAGUUCUUUUUAACCAAUGAUUACUCAUCACAUGUGAAUUGCAACCUGACAUGCCAGUAUGUAUAAAGCAGCUCCCUGGCUGAACAUUUUGCCCCUUAGAACACUUUUUAUGUUUGUUGUAGAUCCUGAGCAACUAUGACCUCUUGAAUACAAAUCUGGAGGUGCUCCCUGUCCUGUUGCUUGUGGGAGUACAUGCUUUUUUUUUUUUUCACCAAGUUAAACAAUCCUGGUUUCUUGUGCAUAGCAUGAAAAGUGGGCAGGAAGCAGAGAGUGGAGCUCUAAACACACCUGCCUGAGCUGACAAGCCAAUGCACUAUUUUUUGCUGAACUCGUCCUCAUGCAAAUUUUUUUUUUUUCUUGCCUUUCUUUUUUCAUUUAUGGCAUGAGUUGCAUGUGUGCGUUCUUUGCAUUUUGUCAGCAUCUAAGAAAGGAUGCGCACUUUGUGUAGUUUUUGUUCACUUAAGAAAACAAAGCUGCCAUCAGGCUGUCAUGUGCAUUCAACAUCGUUUUUCUUUUUUCUUGUGCAGAAGCAAAGUCGCUGUAUACAAAGGCAUUUCUUGCGGUCAGUGUUACGAAUGCAUUGCUUUUGCUUUCCCGUUUAAUUGCGUGGAUUUAGCAAAAUUGUGUCAUUACUGGUAGAAGGGGUCUGUUGUUUUUCAGUGCACUUGUUUGUAGCCCAUGUGGCUUCUACGCUAUUGAAACGAUUGUCUGGAAAGUGGUUGAAUGUCCUUACUAAAGGAUGUCCGGAAAGCCAGUUGCGGAUUCAUAUUUCUAGUAGUUUACAAAACAGCAAGCCAAUCUUGCCACCACCAAUUCUACGCCGGAAUAACCUAACAAUUCCAUUCCAACUCUAUUCCUUUUCACGUUUCGUCAGUGGUCCGAGCGGCACCACGCCUACGUUACCACCAGGAUUGGCUUGUCCCGAGAUUUGUGUUUUAGAUGAUCGGAGGCCUUGAUUCAAUAAAUUUGUUGGUUCAGCCAGCCUCCUCAAGGAAAAGUCAUGCGGCUUCGAAAUUCAGGAUUGUGGCAGGUUGAGCUUUGAGACGAAGAAUUUGAAAUUGACUUUCAGGGCAUCCUGUGGCACAGUGACUAUAACAUACCAAAGAUGUAUGGAAAGGCGUGACGGGUUGUAAAGCGUCGUCCACAUAAUUGUACGUGCAGCGGUAGCAGCAGCCAUCAUUUGUCAUGGUGAAAAAGCAUGCUCUUUAUUUUGUCGAGAGCGCAAUAAACUCUGUGAUUCAAACCAA